GAUGAACGCUGGCGGCGUGCCUAAUACAUGCAAGUCGAACGCUGGAAAUCUAGCUUGCUAGAUUGAAGGAGUGGCGAACGGGUGAGUAAUACAUAAGCAACCUACCCACGAAGACUGGGAUAAUCUCUGGAAACGGGGACUAAUACCGGAUAGGUAAUCGGAAGGCAUCUUCUGAUUAUUAAAGGUUAAAAACACUGGUGGAUGGGCUUAUGGCGCAUUAGUUAGUUGGUGAGGUAACGGCCCACCAAGACGAUGAUGCGUAGCCGGCCUGAGAGGGUGAACGGCCACAUUGGGACUGAGACACGGCCCAGACUCCUACGGGAGGCAGCAGUAGGGAAGUUUCGGCAAUGGGGGAAACCCUGACCGAGCAACGCCGCGUGAGUGAUGACGGCCUUCGGGUUGUAAAGCUCUGUUGUAAGGGAAGAACGGUAGAUAGAGAAUAUCUAAAUGACGGUACCUUACCAGAAAGCCACGGCUAACUACGUG
rnacentral:rRNA from 1 species